rnacentral:lncRNA from 1 species
AUGGCAGUCCCCUUCAAAAUCCCCAAGAGAAAACAGCCAUCAGAAGCUGACAACAUGCACAUGCAGUCCCCUCUCUCACGUCUCCGGGAUACCUCCAGCCCAUUCGAGACAAGCUGGUGCAAUGGCUCUUCAAAUGGAAAAAGGCCUGAACAUGUUGGCUCUCUGAUGGACACCAUCCCAGAGCAGGGAAACAGAGCACUCCUAACCGGCUAGUUCUGAGGGAUGUCUGUGAAGCGCGUCUUGGACCUGGACAAUCAGACAAAUGGACCUCCAGCCAGUCAACAGGCUUCCAGAGACCAGCUCAGACCCCAGAACACCAUCCAGUUGCCAGCCAGAGAGGGAAUUCCCCAGAGCACAGCAAAUGGAGAGAGACCCACAUGCCCAGCACACUGCGGAGAUCACCCGCUCGCUGUCAGCUAGCAGUCAACGGAACACCUAGGAAGCAGACGGAGUCUCUGACUCAUAAGAAGCCACCUCACAUCCAAUCAAGCCCUGUGACAUCAUCAACACACAAAGCUGAACAAAGACUCCCAGCAGCCUCUCCUCCCUGCUUCAAAAAUGGAUGGCGCCCUAAGAGGGCAUCAGACACACUGUGUCGGGACAAGAAUCAAGAGACUGGGUGUGUGUCGCCACUGCUCAAGACGCGCCGUGCAGAGUUCAGUGGAGAUUCCCAAAUGUCUGUGAGAUGCAGCCCAGUGGAGUCGGAGCAGGAUUCUGCAUCAGAACCAUCUCCAGAAAGAGAGGUGGACAGUUCCUCAAAGACGGACGACAGGCUCUCUGUCUCCCCAGGAGACUCAACAUGGAGGAAACAUGACUCUGGGAUGAAUGGAUCUCCUCCACAAAACACAGAGAAGGAGGGGAAGGGAGGCUCAGGAUCACUGCAGAACCAGAUCAAGGUGACUAGUGGUUCACCAGGGACGGGCCCCAGGGGAAGUGUCCCUGUCCCUGCAGGCCACCAAAGCCAGAGCCCAGAUAGUGACGACCCUCCCGACCGCCCCUUGAUGUCAUGGGCCAGAGGUGCAUCCACAGGGUCCCCGAAACACCCCCUCUCCGCUGUGGCUUCAGUGACCCAGGCCACACAGGAGAAGCAGUUUUCCUUUAGCAGGCCUCCCCUCCGGGCUAACCUCACAGACAGAGAGAGGAGGCCUCCCCUCCGGGCUAACCUCACAGACAGAGAGAGGAGGCCUCCAACCAAGUGUCUCUCCCUCCAUCUCAGGCUGAGGCGGCCCAAGCCCACUUCCACAGAACCUAUUGUGCUUUCCAGUGAGGAUGAGGACAUAGAUGAUGAAGAAGAGUGCCCCAGGCUGAAGACCCCACAACAGAGCCCCAGGCAAGGCCAACCCACCCCAGAAGAACAUGUACCCAAACAGNNUGGAGAGAAGGUCACGGGGUCACAGAGCGUAUCGGAGCACCAACCUGGCAGCACACAGCCACUGCCUCCUAUCAUGGAACUGUCCUUCUCUACACUGCACGCUGGGGUGGUCCGAGCGCAGGCCAAUGGAAACCUGGUGGUAACAGAUGAUGGCAUCACACUACCGCUGAAAGAUUCCAGGGUGUCAUCCGAGGAGGAGGGGGGGGUGUCGGUGAGCCUGGUGGCGUCCCAGCUCAGAGGGUACGCGGUGUGGGACGGGGGUCUAGCCCAAGACGGGAGACUCUUCCCGGGUUGUCCCGGCCGAGCGGCCCCCUCCCUGCUCUUCCUCUGGGUGUCUGAGGCUCAGGCCAACCUGGUGCAGACAGAGAUCUCAGCCCUCCACCCCGUUACACUGCCUGGUCAGGCCUGUCCAUUCCUCCUCCUGGUCCUAAGAGAACAGCUGGGUGAUCUGCAGGCUGCUCUGCUAGCCUCCAUGCUGGAUGUAGAGGCRUUCCGUCAGGGCCGCUCCUACGACCUGAAGAGUCCCCUGUCCUGGGCAGACGGCCUGGCACUGAUACACAGCUGUCCCCAGGACGCCCACCUCCUCACCCUGCUGGGGCAGAGCCUGGUGGCAGACCCCGGCCUGGGGACAGCAAAGGGGAGCCCCAGUUGGACCAGAGGGGAACCACCGAAAGCAGAGAGCCUUACUCCAGACUCAAGGGCCUGCUGCCCACCAGGUUGAUCCAGUACCCACCACUCCCUUCUAAAGAGG